rnacentral:rRNA from 1 species
GAGUGAAAUCCCUUAGUAACGAAGCUAACGCGUGAAGUUGACCGCCUGGGGAGUACGGUCGCAAGAUUAAAACUCAAAGGAAUUGACGGGGACCCGCACAAGCGGUGGAUGAUGUGGAUUAAUUCGAUGCAACGCGAAAAACCUUACCUACCCUUGACAUGUCCGGAAUCCUGCAGAGAUGCGGGAGUGCUAGAAAGAGAACCGGAACACAGGUGCUGCAUGGCUGUCGUCAGCUCGUGUCGUGAGAUGUUGGGUUAAGUCCCGCAACGAGCGCAACCCUUAUCAUUAGUUGCUACGCAAGGGCACUCUAAUGAGACUGCCGGUGACAAACCGGAGGAAGGUGGGGAUGACGUCAAGUCCUCAUGGCCCUUAUGGGUAGGGCUUCACACGUCAUACAAUGGUCGGUACAGAGGGUUGCCAAGCCGCGAGGUGGAGCCAAUCCCAGAAAGCCGAUCGUAGUCCGGAUUGUUCUCUGCAACUCGAGAGCAUGAAGUCGGAAUCGCUAGUAAUCGCGGAUCAGCAUGUCGCGGUGAAUACGUUCCCGGGUCUUGUACACACCGCCCGUCACACCAUGGGAGUGGAAUCUGGCAGAAGUAGGUAGCCUAACCGCAAGGAGGGCGCUUACCACGCUGGGUUUCAUGACUGGGGUGAAGUCGUAACAAGGUAACCCAAAGGGGGAAUUCGCGGCCCCAAAAAAUA